GGAGAGAUGCGAGAGUGGUUGAAUCGGACGGUCCCGAAAACCGUUGAACCCGUCAGGGUUCCGAGGGUUCGAAUCCCUCUCUCUCCG
rnacentral:tRNA from 1 species